rnacentral:rRNA from 1 species
AGCCUACGGGGGGCAGCAGUGGGGAAUAUUGCGCAAUGGGCGAAAGCCUGACGCAGCGACGCCGCGUGAAGGAAGAAGGCUUUCGGGUUGUAACUUCUUUUAUCAGGGACGAAGCAAGUGACGGUACCUGAUGAAUAAGCCACGGCUAACUACGUGCCAGCAGCCGCGGUAAUACGUAGGUGGCAAGCGUUAUCCGGAUUUACUGGGUGUAAAGGGCGUGUAGGCGGGAGGGCAAGUCAGAUGUGAAAACUAUGGGCUCAACCCAUAGCCUGCAUUUGAAAAUGUACUUCUUGAGUGCUGGAGAG